rnacentral:rRNA from 1 species
GAUGAACGCUGGCGGCGUGCCUAAUACAUGCAAGUCGAGCGAACAGACGAGGAGCUUGCUCCUCUGACGUUAGCGGCGGACGGGUGAGUAACACGUGGAUAACCUACCUAUAAGACUGGGAUAACUUCGGGAAACCGGAGCUAAUACCGGAUAAUAUAUUGAACCGCAUGGUUCAAUAGUGAAAGACGGUUUUGCUGUCACUUAUAGAUGGAUCCGCGCCGCAUUAGCUAGUUGGUAAGGUAACGGCUUACCAAGGCGACGAUGCGUAGCCGACCUGAGAGGGUGAUCGGCCACCCUGGAACUGAGACACGGUCCAGACUCCUACGGGAGGCAGCAGUAGGGAAUCUUCCGCAAUGGGCGAAAGCCUGACGGAGCAACGCCGCGUGAGUGAUGAAGGUCUUCGGAUCGUAAAACUCUGUUAUUAGGGAAGAACAAAUGUGUAAGUAACUAUGCACGUCUUGACGGUACCUAAUCAGAAAGCCACGGCUAACUACGUG